AAGUCGUAACAAGGUUUCCGUAGGUGAACCUGCGGAAGGAUCAUUAAUGGAAAGCGCAAUGCUCCUCUUUGCUCCUAUACAGGCCGUUGAUGGUUUCUCUCCUUAGUUUUUUUCUUCUUUGGAGAGGCCCGCGGACGACCUGGCUGGAGACUACUUGACCUUAAGUUUUACCAACCUUCUCUCCAAGUCGUGUUGGUAACCCAUAAUGGUCAAGUCAAGCGAGGUAUCCGUCUGAAUUCUUAAAAGACGAAAGACUUUUUUUUUUUCAGUCAUGUUUUGCUUUUUUUGACGCUGUUUGUUUCAGCCGAUAAAAAUCUUAUAAACCAAAUAAAACUUUCAACAACGGAUCUCUUGGCUAGCC
rnacentral:misc_RNA from 1 species